rnacentral:rRNA from 1 species
CCUACGGGUGGCUGCAGUGAGGAAUAUUGGUCAAUGGGCGGGAGCCUGAACCAGCCAAGCCGCGUGAGGGAAGAAGGUACAGCGUAUCGUAAACCUCUUUUGUCAGGGAACAAAGGCGGGGACUAGUCCCCGGAUGAGGGUACCUGAAGAAAAAGCAUCGGCUAACUCCGUGCCAGCAGCCGCGGUAAUACGGAGGAUGCGAGCGUUAUCCGGAUUUAUUGGGUUUAAAGGGUGCGCAGGCGGCCUGUUAAGUCAGCGGUAAAAGCCCGGGGCUCAACCCCGGGACUGCUCUUGGAACUGUGCGGCUAGAGUGCGGGAGGGGCAGGCGGAAUUCCUGGUGUAGCGGUGAAAUGCGUAGAUAUCAGGAGGAACACCGGCGGCGAAGGCGGCCUGCUGGACCGCGACUGACGUUGAGGCUCGAAAGCGUGGGGAGCGAACAGGAUUAGAUACCCGAGUAGUC